rnacentral:rRNA from 1 species
AUUGAACGCUGGCGGCAGGCCUAACACAUGCAAGUCGAACGAGUGGCGGACGGGUGAGUAAUGUCUGGGAAACUGCCCGAUGGAGGGGGAUAACUACUGGAAACGGUAGCUAAUACCGCAUACCAUCGGAUGUGCCCAGAUGGGAUUAGCUAGUAGGUGGGGUAAUGGCUCACCUAGGCGACGAUCCCUAGCUGGUCUGAGAGGAUGACCAGCGAUACUGGAACUGAGACACGGUCCAGCGUCCUACGGGAGUCAGCAGGGGGGAAUAUUGCACAAUGGGCGCAAGGCUGAUGCAUCCAUGCCGCGUGUAGGAAGAAGGCCUUCGGGUUGUAAAGUACUUUCAUCGAGGAGGCGUUACUCGCAGAAGAAGCACCGGCUAACUCCGUGCCAGCAGCCGCGUAAUUC